rnacentral:lncRNA from 1 species
AGGGUAUCUAGUUUAAAAAUUGUGUGCGGUGACCCGGCCAACCAACCAAGAUAGCCGCCAUGGCUAAAAAUAGAACAUAGGGGUAAAAUGUAGAUUUUGGCUUAUAACUCUGAAACCAAAGCAUUUAAAGCAAAUCUUACAAGGGGUUAACUUGUUUAUCUAGUAAAUAUCUAUCUGCCCUGAAAUUUUCGGAUGAAUUGGACAACUGGUUGUUGGGUUGCUGCCCCCCAAUUUGUAAUUUUUAAAGAAAUUUAGCCGUUUUUGGUUAUUAUCUUGAAUACUAUUAUAGAUAGAGACAAAUUGUAAACAGCAAUAAUGUUCAGCAAAUUAAGAUCUACAAAUAAGUCAACAUUACCAAAAUGGUCAGUUGACCCCUUAAGGAGUUAUUGCCCUUUAUAGUCAUUUUUUAACAAUUUUCAUUAAUUUGGUAAAUUUUGGUAAGUUUUUACGAAGUGUUUUCCUCUGUAACUAAAGGGCCAAGUUCAUUACAGAUAAAGAAAAUUGUAAGUAACAAGAAUGAUCAGUAAAGUUUGAUCUUCAAACACAUCACCAUCACCAAAAC